rnacentral:miRNA from 2 species
CGCAAAUGCGGAUAUCAAUGU